rnacentral:misc_RNA from 1 species
AGAGAGAGAGAGAGAGAGGUAAAUUCAGAGGAAUUUACGGAGCAUACCUGGAUUGGUUGUGAAACUGGGAGAGAAGGGAAAUGGAGGGAAAGUGGUGGACAGGGUUAAGCCAACGAAAACCCUAAACCCUUCCGGUUGCAGGCAAAUUUGCAAUAAUUGCAGAGAGGAUCCGAUGAAGUCGGGUCAUUAAUUGGUUCGGAUUCAAGCAUUGUUGUUUGUCGUUCGGCUCUAAAGA